AACUAACGCUUGUGGUGUGUCUUAGUCAUGCAAGUCGAACGAGAAAGUCACCUUCGGGUGACGAGUACAGUGGCGAACGGGUGAGCAACACGUGGGCAACCUGCCCCUGGGUUGGGGAUAACACUUCCAACGAAGUGCUAAUACCGAAUGACAAGGCGAGCUGAUGACUCGUUUUUAAAGGUGGCCUCUACUUGUAAGCUGCCGCCUAGGGAUGGGCCCGCGUCGUAUUAGCUUGUUGGUAGGGUAAUGGCCUACCAAGGCGACGAUGCGUAGCCGGCCUGAGAGGGUGAACGGCCACACUGGCACUGAGAUAAGGGCCAGUCUCCUACGGGAGCCAGCAGUCUAGAAAUUUGCACAAUCGCCGAAAGGCGGAUGCAGCGACACCACGUGGAGGAUGAAGCCCCUCCGGGUGUAAACUCCUGUCAGAAGGGAAGAAGGCGCGAGCGUUAAUACCGCUCGUUGCUUGACGGUACCUUCAGAGGAAGCUCCGGCUA
rnacentral:rRNA from 1 species